rnacentral:rRNA from 1 species
AGGGAGUCGACCUACGGGAAGACGAAGUGCGACCGAAUCAUGGCGCCGAGAAGUAAUCUCUAAGGUUAAUCUUUCAGGGACCGUACCGUAAACGGACACACGUGGGCGGGGUGAGAAUCCUCAGGCGCUCGAGAGAACUCGCGUUAAGGAACUCGGCAAAAUACACACGUAACUUCGGGAGAAGUGUGGCCUGUACGAGCAGGUUGCAGAGAAGAGGCCCAGGCGACUGUUUAUCAAAAACACAGGUCUCUGCUAAUCAGUGAUGAGAAGUAUAGGGACUGACACCUGCCCGGUGCUGGAAGGUUAAGGGGAGGGGUUAGCUGCAAAGCGAAGCUCUGAACUGAAGCCCCAGUAAACGGCGGCCGUAACUAUAACGGUCCUAAGGUAGCGAAAUUCCUUGUCGGGUAAGUUCCGACCUGCACGAAUGGUGUAACGAUCUGGGCGCUGUCUCAACGCGAGACUCGGUGAAAUUGAAGUAUCGGUGAAGAUGCCGAUUAUCCAUGGUUAGACGGAAAGACCCCGUGAACCUUUACUGUAGCUUGGCACUGGAGCUUGGACUGUGAUGUGUAGGAUAGGUGGGAGACUGUGAAGCGGGAGCGCUAGCUUUCGUGGAGUCGCCGUUGAAAUACCACCCUUUGCAGUUUAGGUUUCUAACGCGGGCCGUGAAACCGGUUUGUGGACAGUGUCAGGCGGGCGGUUUGACUGGGGCGGUCACCUCCUAAAGAGUAACGGAGGUGUGCGAAGGUUCCCUCGCGCUGGUUGGAAAUCAGCGUAUGAGUGCAAAGGCAAAAGGGAGCUUGACUGCGAGAGUGACAACUCGAGCAGGUGCGAAAGCAGGUCUUAGUGAUCUGGCGGUGGCGAGUGGAAGCGCCGUCACUUAACGGAUAAAAGGUACUCCGGGGAUAACAGGCUUAUCUUGCCCAAGAGUUCACAUCGACGGCAAGGUUUGGCACCUCGAUGUCGGCUCAUCGCAUCCUGGGGCUGGAGCAGGUCCCAAGGGUUUGGCUGUUCGCCAAUUAAAGCGGUACGUGAGCUGGGUUCAGAACGUCGUGAGACAGUCCGGUCCCUAUCUGCCAUGGACGUUGGUUGCUUGAGAGGAGCUGCUCUUAGUACGAGAGGACCAGAGUGGACGAACCUCUGGUGUACCAGUUGUCGCGCCAGCGGCAUGCGCUGGGUAGCCAUGUUCGGAAGGGAUAACCG